CAUCGCGCCGCCGCCACCCACUCCACCAAAUCCCCUCGGGAUCCAUCCCCAACCAGCCAGCAUCUCUCCCUCCCUCAUUUUCAGCAUCAAACCAACCAGAGACAUCCGAUCCAGAUCCUCUCCCGCCUCCGACCACCUCCUCUGUUCCCGAGGCCCAGCCUUCUCUCGCUCUCGUGCGCGAGCACGCGCCCGAGGAGCUCGAGCAGGAGAGCCACUUCUCCCGCUGGCAAUCGAAGCCACCAACCAGAUGAGUGUCGCCCCUUCUCCUCCUUCCUUUGUUUUCUUCUCUGCAUCCGUUCUCAACUCCCUCUCGUCUCUCUCUGCACAGGAAACCCCGCCGCCGCCGGGAACGAGCUCCCAUGCCCGGAUCCACUCCUCCUCGCCUCAUCCAUGUUGCCGGAAGCCGCACCUUGGACCACUGCACCCACGCCGGAGCCAGCUGCAGCUCGGCCCGCGCCCUGGCCUCGUCCCAUGCCCGGAUCCCCUGCAUCGUCCUAGCACCAUCCCCUACCAAGUCCGGCCGGAUCCGGACGAAAUCGGCCUCCCCGUCGCACGUCCGGCUUCAAUAGCAGCCAUGGAGCCGCCUCCGCUUUGAUUCGGCAGGGAACAAACCCCGACGACCUCCACCGCCCGGAUCCGCGUCUCCCUUGCCGCCAGUUUUCGCCUCUGCUUCCGCUACCCCACACCGGCGCGCCGCCCUUCGCCAGGUCCACCGUCGCCGGCCUUUGCUCGUUCUGCUUCGAGCAGAGUAGCUCUGCUCGUCCCAGCAGCGUUGACCGCGGCCACUCCAGCGCCUGGGCCAGCGCCUCCCUAAGCCUGCAGCCUCUCCAUGAGCUGGGCCGAGCCCAUGGUUCCGGUAAUGUUGCGAUUGUGAGGAUUCGUUCGACUACUCCCGUGCGUCUUCGUCAU